UACGGGGGGGGGCAAGCGUUGUUCGGAAUUACUGGGCGUAAAGGGCUCGUAGGCGGCCAACUAAGUCGGAUGUGAAAUCCCCAGGCUCAACCUGGGAACUGCAUCCGAUACUGGAUGGCUUGAAUUCGGGAGAGGGAUGCAGAAUUCCAGGUGUAGCGGUGAAAUGCGUAGAUAUCUGGAGGAAUACCGGUGGCGAAGGCGGCAUCCUGGACCGACAUUGACACUGAGACACGAAGGCCAGGGGAGCAAACGGG
rnacentral:rRNA from 1 species